CCUACGGGUGGCAGCAGUGGGGAAUAUUGCGCAAUGGGCGAAAGCCUGACGCAGCGACGCCGCGUGAGGGAUGAAGGUCUUCGGAUCGUAAACCUCUGUCAGCAGGGAAGAACGGUCACUGUGCUAAUCAGCAGUGAAUUGACGGUACCUGCAAAGGAAGCACCGGCUAACUCCGUGCCAGCAGCCGCGGUAAUACGGAGGGGGCGAGCGUGAAUCGGAAUUACGGGGCGUAAAGCGCUCGUAGGCGGUAUGGCAAGUCAAUGGUGAAAGCCCCGGGCUCAACGUUGGAACUGCCUUUGAAACUGGCAAACUGGAGUGUGUGAGAGGAUGGUGGAAUUCCAGGUGUAGGAGUGAAAUCCGUAGAUAUCUGGAGGAACAUCAGUGGCGAAGGCGACUAUCUGGCACAUAACUGACGCUGAGGGGCGAAAGCGUGGGUAGCAAACAGGAUUAGAUACCCGAGUAGUC
rnacentral:rRNA from 1 species